rnacentral:piRNA from 1 species
CCAGCGAAACUGGAACUAGGGUCCCCGGC